CACCUCCUUGGCCGUGAAGCGUAUGACUUGAGGGCCUAUUUCGAAUUCUACACCCUCCUUCCAAUGACGGAGGAUGAACUCCAGCAAUGGCCUAUCUGAGGUGAUGUCGGGGAAGUGUAAGAUAUUACCGAAUAUCGUACUCUCGAUGACGGGAAGAUGAUGCGGCUUCACGACCGACGCGUAAGUCUUUCUGUACGCUCCGACGAAACACCUAGAAUUCACAAUGAAUCUACCGGCGGGGCCGCCGGCAACCGGCCGCGAAGGCGCCUUACGGCCGUCGGCAGACGAUGAAUCAGUAGAUUCCGACGACUUCGACGCCAUUGCAAGCAAUGUAGAUUUAGAUUGCUCGUGUAUUCGCCGAUGGAAUUCGAAUUGGACGAUGGUGGUUACAAAUAGAAAUGCGGCUGAUAGGGCAAUGACCGACGUAAGGCGGUUUAGAGCCCUUAAAAGAUUAGAAUAGGGUAAUGGGGAGCAACAGGAGUUUGAAAGUUAGUGGGAUGCUAGUAUGUGCCAGCCUUUUUACAAAACAGCGUACAAGUCCAUACAAAACCUGACACGUUAGCACAACAAACAGCCAACUGCCAGAAUAUGAAAGUUAUUGGGAUUAAUUGCCUUAAAUGCUGGACAGAGUCGUACAGUGACGUGAUCGUUAUACUCGACUAAGUAGGGAAGAGGCACUGGCCGGUAAGAGAGAGGAAGAGACACCGGCUGGGAGCGUGUAUCCACGCUAUUCGCCAGACCGUGUGUAUGUUGUUCCAUGAACACAUUGCACUAUUAUUUUAAAAUAGUUGCACCAUUAUGAACUUUGUUCUACUAUUUUACCUUUCGAUGCACUAUUAUUUUGAAAUAGUUGCACCAUUAUGAACAUUGUUCUACUAUUUUACCUUUCGAUGCACUAUUAACUUCGUUCCGCGCCUUUUAUUUCGCCUCAGCGGAGAUACACUAUAGCGGUCGGAGCGCAUAUCCACGCUAUUCGCUAGACCGUGUGUUUGCUGUUCCAUGAACCCAUUGCACUAUUAUUAUGACAUAGUGGCACCCUUAUGAACUUAGUUGUACUAUUUUACUCGACGUUGUACCAUUAAAUGCGUCGCGUCCGCUGUACGCAACCCAACCUCCCUCGAUCAUUACUCGGAACUCGGACCACAUCCGCCCUAGCUAUUCGCCGGCCCCGCUGUUUCCCGUUCGCCUUUAAGACUUUACGAAAUUUUCGAAAGCUAUUGACAAAUAAUGCGCGGCCCGAUAAUAGUACAACGCGAAGAGCUACCAAGGAUAAAUGGUGCAACAGACGUCUAUAAAAGUGCAUUCGUAGCUUCGUUCCUAUGCAACCAAACAAUAACAGUCAAAAUUUACUUAUUUUAUAUCAUAAUGUAAACUUAAGUUAAAAGUGCAAAUGAAAGGACAUCGGGGCCGU
rnacentral:lncRNA from 1 species